rnacentral:misc_RNA from 1 species
GCUAAGUUGUUAAAGCUCAAGUCACUGAAGGGAAAAAAAAUGUAAAUAAUAAAAUCAAAAGAGAGAAAGUUGAUUAAUUACUUGUAGAUAGUCCUUAAUUAUUAUAUCCAUCAGAAAUAGUCUAUAUAAUUAAUAUUACAUGUUUAAAUUGAUAGAAACAUAUGAAAAUUACAGAGCACAAGCCCACACGAAGUACCUAUAUGUGCAAAAUUAAAAUAUUGAUAACAUUUUUGCAAUA